rnacentral:lncRNA from 1 species
AGGGAGGAAAGGUAGCACUUGGCAGAGGACAAAAAGUUACUUAGCCAUCAUCAGUGGGCACAGGUUUCCUUUGCUGUUCUUGAAGUCAAUCACUAAAAUUUUAACACUUUGUGUUUCACUUUCUGAUGACCAAGGCCUAAGUGAGAAAAGUGUAAGCUCACCCUUCAAGCAGAUAUCUGUGCCUCCAGCAGCCUCAGAAUGGGCACAGUUGUGGCCUCAGCCCUGCCAUACAGGGAGAUGUCACCACAGACUGGAUACCAUACUUACCUUUCUAUUCUGCUCCUGUGAAGCCCAUGUGGAACUGCAGUGAGGAAAAAGAACGCACAGAAAUAUGAUUGCAUCACCAGAUCGGAAAAGCUUCAACACCUGAACUCCAGUCUCCAGUUCCAGUGCCCAGAGUGCUGUUGUGAAGCUUCCAGGAUUCCAGUGGGAAGGGUCCUGGCAGCGUGUCCUCUCCAUGGAUGAGACCCCAAAGUCCGCCUACCAGUGAGGCUCCUUAAAUAGCAGUUGGAACAAAAAUGUCAGUGUCAAGGAGUCUCCAGCCCCUGGGACUGGUCCAUUCCCCAGGGGAACAAAGAUGUGCAUCUCUAGGUGAGAAAGAGCCCAUCCUUAGGAGCCGGCCAGGCUCAUAGGAGUUUUUGCCCAUGUGAGGAUGUCUGCCAGCCACCCAACAUCUGAUCUCUAUGACACUGUGUUGUGAAGAAGGAAAAUCUUUCUACUUAAUUUGAGCCCUUCAGAUGGCAGAGUAAGCAGGC